rnacentral:lncRNA from 1 species
GAUUGAUGCUCCCGUGUGAUAGUUUUGGCUAAACAAUUGUUUAGAAUAUAAGGAAGGAUUGUAGGAUUGAUUUUUCGGAUCAUUUUGAAAAAUGAGAUUACAGUUCAAUGAAAUAUGUCACUUAUGAAUGUUUUUUACUGACGUUAUCGUACCAAAUUGGAUAACCCGAAUAUUAUCCUACAUGCAUUAUAUGAUCAAACGCCAAUCGACUGAAGAAAAUCAAUGGAAGCCUGAGGAAAUGGAAGAUUUUAUAGCCAAAAG